rnacentral:lncRNA from 1 species
AUAAAAUUUAAUUUUCUCUAAAGAGGAAAGGAGCUGAGUAGGCCCAAACCAUUCCCAAAAUCAUUUGGAUAAAGACUUAGUGCGGUUGGGGAUAAAAAAAUAAGUAAAAUGAACCUGAUUAUUUCUGUGAGAAAAAGAUAUUGGGGCAGUCUAGAUAUGCCUUUCUCAUUUGUAGAGGGGAAUGCACGUAUUUUAAAUGCCAAUUCUGUGUAACUUGCUUUCCAGGACAGAAAAGGAAAUGAAGAUGGAAGAAAACAUUGGGAUUUCCCUGGCUAAUUUGGAGAACUAUUUAGCUUAUUUAACUUUAAACACUUAACUUGGGCAAAGCAAAUAGGAGCACUGCCUCCCUGGGCAGUCACUGGAGAGGAAGUCUCCUGUAGAUGAUGAAUCAGAGCGUCCAAAUUCUCAAUUACUUAUCUCCUCCCAGUGACUACAGAGGGAGCACAGGGUGAUGACAUUCAGCAAGACAGAGCAUCAGCUGGAGACCUACAAAUGGACUAUGGACGUUCCUGCCCUGUGAGGUAUUUCAAGGAAGUCUCAGGAGAAGGAUGCUAUUUAUGAACAAACAGCUACAAACCAGCAGUAUGGCAGCAAUACUGAGGAUGUGAAAAGAAACCACAGUAAACAAAGAAGAAGCACUGGGUGAAGUUGCAGCCACUUUCUGGAUCAAAGUCACACUUCAGUCUCACAGCGGUGCUUUUGCCUCUGGCUGCAGUCCAGGAGAAAGGCCCAAGGGAGUGAGCUCCCUGGCGAGUCACGGCGUCUCUCCAAGCAGGCGUGACAUCUCCUACAAAAUCAGACUUGGCCUCACCCUGCCUGAAAGCAACUCUCUGCCCAAGCUCGGAGUAUCUGAGUUGACUUCUAAACUCAGUACCAAGCCCAUUUUUAAUUGGCAAGGAUAAGUCCUCCAGACACAUCUAAGGUUGUAAAAGCAGCAGUACCAAGUUAAACCACAGCUGGCCGAGUUCCCUCUCUGAUAAUGGCCAAUAAUGGAUCCAGAGGAGAGUAUAUGAACAAGGUAGGUAUAAAAGUGGCACGUUCCUAAUGAGCUUGUACAGCCUAUACAGCCUACAG